AGAGAUCCGUCCUGGGAAAUGACACCUUUGUUAGGCUUCCAUUGCAGUGCUACACAAAAGAAAAAAGCAGAAAAAGCUUUAAUAGCAAAAUAGAGAGCCCCAGCAGUCUGAGGAGCAUGAAUGUUAUGUUGGUAUGAAGAGAAGUUUAGUUGUAUGGAGAAAACGCUUCUCACUUUGAAGAUCUCAUUUGAAAGGCUGAUAAAGAAAUGCCCUGAAAUUAAAGGUAUUCUCAGGUUCAGAGAACAAAGGGGGGAAGCACACAGACCCGAGAAAGAAAGCUCCUCUUGCGUGUGAGAAAGUAAAGGACACUUUGACUCACUUGAGAUCCCUCGAAAUGCUAAAAAAAGAAAGGGAAGAAAAAAGUACAAGAAAAGACACUCAUGGAACUGCUGAGGAUUGUUUCAAGUGAAGGAAAAACAGGCUGGUCUAGGAGGAUGAGGUAUUCCCUGCCACUCUUGAAGCGGAAAAGUUCCU